rnacentral:ncRNA from 1 species
GCUUCAAACCACGGGAGUCCGGUGCGCCGGGCUGAGAGGAAGGCCGAAGCCUUCGACCGUCGAACCUGAUCCGGGUCAUGCCGGCGCAGGGAGCGAUCUCACCCGUGCC